rnacentral:tRNA from 1 species
GAAGGAAGCUGGGCAUGAAAGAGCUUCUAACUUGUUUCAUAGGGGGUUCAAUUCCUUCUUUCCUUCU